AACGAACGCUGGCGGCAGGCCUAACACAUGCAAGUCGAGCGCGCCCUUCGGGGUGAGCGGCGGACGGGUGAGUAACGCGUGGGAACGUGCCCUUUUCUACGGAAUAGCCUCGGGAAACUGAGAGUAAUACCGUAUACGCCCUUUGGGGGAAAGAUUUUUGGAAACAGGAUCGUCCCGCGUUGGAUUAGGUAGUUGGUGGGGUAAUGGCCUACCAAGCGGACGAUCAAUAGCUGGUUUGAGAGGAUGAUCAGCCACACUGGGACUGAGACACGGCCCAGACUCCUACGGGAAGCAGCAGUGGGGAAUCUGAGACAAGGGGGGCGACCCUGAUCUAGCCAUGCCGCGUGAGUGAUGAAGGCCUUAGGGUUGUAAAGCUCUUUCAGCUGGGAAGAUAAUGACGGUACCAGCAGAAGAAGCCCCGGCUAACUCCGUG
rnacentral:rRNA from 1 species